rnacentral:tRNA from 1 species
GGUGGAGUGGUGUAGUGGUUAGCACACCCGACCGGACAUUUGGGAGGCCCAGAUUUCAAAUCCUGGCUCCGCCG